AUUGAACGCUGGCGGCAGGCCUAACACAUGCAAGUCGAGCGAGCGGCGGACGGGUGAGUAAUGUAUGGGGACUGCCCGAUAGAGGGGGAUAACUACUGGAAACGGUGGCUAAUACCGCAUACUAUCGGAUAACCCAUAUGGGAUUAGCUAGUAGGUGGGGUAAAGGCUCACCUAGGCGCCGAUCUCUAGCUGGUCUGAGAGGAUGACAAGCCAAACUGGGACUGAGAAAGGGCCCAGACUCCUACGGAGGAAGCGGUGGGAAAUGUUGCACAAGGGGUGCAGGCCUGAUGCAGCCUGGCGGGGGGUAUGAAGAGGGCCUUAGGGUUGUAAAGUACUUUAGGGGGGGAGGCGUUACCCGCAGAAAAAGAACCGGCUAACUCCGUGCAAGCAGCCGCGGUAAAC
rnacentral:rRNA from 1 species